UAAUUUCAUCAACCCAAAAUCCUUGAGCAUAGAAGCUUGUCUGAAACUCCCCUAAUUUCAUAUUAGGGUUUGAAAUUGGUCAUUUAGAUUUAAGAUUCUUCAAAAAUUGGGAUUAGUGGUUGAAUUUCGAGCCCUAAUAUGGACUGGGGAGAAUUUCAAACAAGCUUUUACACUCAAAAAUUUUGAGUUUACGGAAUUG
rnacentral:miRNA from 1 species